GGGGAAAAUUUAAUAAAAAAAUUAAUAAAAAAAGAAAUUUUAAUAUAAAAUAUUUAAUGGGGGUUAAAGUAUAUUUAUAGAAAAAAUUUUUUAAUUUAUAGGGGAUUAGUAUAGUGGUAGAAAAUUGAAAAAAUGAAAUAUUAAUUAGUAAAAAAGUAAUUUUAAUUUAAUGUAUCUUGUGUCUCAGAGUUUAUUAAUAAAAUAAUUUAGUUAAAUUUAUUUCGAAUUAAAAAGAGUUAAUUAAUUAAUAAAGUUAAUGUUGCAUAAUUAUUUUUAAUAAUUAAUUAGAAAUGAAAAGUUAUUCGUUUUUUAAGAUAUCUAAUUUUUUUAGAAAAAAGUUUAAUUUUAAAUUAAUUUUUAUAAAUAUUAAUUAAUUAAUAUUUAUAAAAAUUAAUUUUAUAUUUUAGGGGAUAAGCUUUAAAUUAAAUUAUUAUAAAAUAAAUAAAGUAAUUGAAAUUUUUAAGAUUUUUAUUUUUUAAAAAUUAUAGUUUUUUAUAAAUAAUUUCAUUUAAUUAAAAUUUUAUUUAAUUUUAAUUUUUUAUAAAAAAAUAUUUUUUUAUAGGGGAAAAAUAGUUAUAAUGAUAAAAUUAGUAUAUAAUUAUAAAAUAAGAAUAAAAAUUAUUUUAAUUAAUAAAAAGGAAUUCGGCAAAUAU
rnacentral:rRNA from 1 species